rnacentral:rRNA from 1 species
UACGGAGGGUGCGAGCGUUGUCCGGAAUCACUGGGCGUAAAGGGCGCGUAGGUGGCCACUUCAAGCGUGCGGUGAAAGUCGGGGGCUCAACCCCUGAUCGGCCGUGCCGAACUGGGGGGCUGGAGCACUGUAGAGGCAGGCGGAAUUCCGGGUGUAGCGGUGGAAUGCGUAGAGAUCCGGAAGAACGACCGGUGGCGAAGGCGGCCUGCGGGCAGUUUUGCUGGACACUUGAGGCGCGACAGCGUGGGAGC